GGAAGAGACUCGUUCAAAAAGUUCAGCUCAUGGACGACCUGGUUUUCGAGAGAAGUUAAAUCGACAAGCAAUUUUCUCAAAAACACAAAGGCCAAUGGUGUUGACCUGCAAUGGCUGAAAAAAUUUACCGGGCUCAGACACAACGAGGAGGGGAUGGCACGUUAUCUAUGCCAGAAGCAUUGUGCCCCCAUCAUGCAGCUUGCUUCUGGCUUUGUGAGACAGCGGUAACAAACUUCAGGCUGGAUACCCUUUGUGGCAGAGGAAAAGGAAAAAGGCAUUAGAGAAGGGAGAACACUGCAGCGUGCCGUAGCUGGACAUGGACCACAGGGCUCUUGAAGGCUGCUUCAAAAUAAUACAUGAAUGCCUCAAGCAAAAGAUGCCUCACCACACCAAUUACGAGCCCAUUAUUUGCAAGCGAUUGGAAUGUGCUUAUUUUUAAGGUUGAAUGUAAAUUCUGCAGCGCAUUUAAUUACGAUUGUAAAUUGAACAUCUCAAAGUAAUUACUGUCAAGUAGGCAAGCCUAAUAGUUUUCUUCCCCUGAGUCAGUGCCAACACCAAAUAUAAAAGCAGCCACAUCAUUGAUGAAAUGGUGGAGAUCGUCGGGAAGAUUUUGAAUGACCAGCAGGUGGCAGAGUUGUCAAAAUCCCCGGUGUGGGGAUUGGUGGUUGAUGAGAGACCACUGACAUCUCCGUCACCAAGCAGCUGGGUCUUGUUGCGAGGUGAGAUUGUGACUUUCUACAACUAAA